UGUGCGCAGGCGCGGUCUCGCGUUCUUUUCGAGACCGGCCGCGUGGCUGGAAGUCAUGGCCACUGGCGUUGGUGUUGAGCACGGCGAGCAGCUUCAGGCCUUUAGUGAUGAUGAGGCCUUUCUUUGUUUGGCAUCUGCAGAGACGGUGAAAAGCAGAGCUCCAGGUUGAAGGAGCAGAGUAAUGGAUGGAGCCCUAACAUGAGUAAGAAUGGGUUCAGGCAAGGCCUGAGUGGUCACCAAAAAUGAGAAAGCACAGAUGGUGCUAUCACAUACAUUCACGUCCUGCUUUAUUCUGAAGUUCAAGUGUGAGAAUACAUGUUGACAUACAAGCCAGCUAUGAUUAAAGAUGUUGGCUGUGGCCUUGGAAACAGUCAUGUGAAAACCCAUCACCUUAAGGUGUUAAAUGUAAGGAUCUUCAUGAUGAAGUUUCUUUAAAUGGUGCAGUGAGCCUCAGUUUCCGAGGCCGGAAGAGGAUCCUCUAGUAGCCACAUUGUGGCAGCUGCCCUGAACCGGGACCUGGACCCGGACCCAAAUUGCCAUGUCUUUGAUGCAUGUUAGCUACUAGCCAUGCCAGAUGGGAUCAGCACAGCCCUGCCUCUGCUGCUAAUUGUUCCUCUAAAGUAAUCACCAUGCCUUCUUCGGGCUUCAUCUUUAAAGGAAUGAAGUGACUGAGAUUAUUCUGGAAAAGCUUUUGGCAGUUAGUGAAAUUAGAGUACAACUAAGAACAUUUUCAGACCUCCACUGUGGAUGACCUGGGUAUAAUCUCACAAAUCGAUGGGACUGCAAGGAUUAAACUGAAAUGAACGCGAUUAUACUGUGUUGGAAGAGCCUAAGAGGAAACUGAUGCCGUGAGUUUCAGAGAGUAACGCUUAACCCCAGUUACACAGGAUACCAUCUUGUGUUUUCUCUUUUUCAGUUACCCACUACAUUGAUUUUGUGAUCUGCUAAUGGGUUGCCACCCACAAACAUUGCUUUAGCACUUUUACUUCAAAUCAAUGAAGGACUGAGAAAAGUUCUCCUGGUGUCUCCACAGAGUGGCUUCCAGGAACAGGUCUUUGCAUAGAAUAUCAGUGGUUUCCUUUUUUGUUUCAAAUAAUGGUCAGAAGAGAUCCAGUGUUGACUCACCAAGGCAGUCAGGUUCCUUUUUCCUUUUUUUUUUUUUUUUUUUUUUUUUUACAUUUUAUAUUUUUGCUCUUUUUAAUUUUAGUUUAUUUUAUUUAUUUUUUGAAAUGGAGUUCCACUCUGUCGCCAGGCUGGAGUGUAGUGGUGUAAUCUCAGCUCACUGCAGCCUCCACCUGUCAAGUUCAAGCAAUUCUUUUGGCUCAGCCUCCUGAGUGCUGAGACUACAGGUGCAUACCUUCUUAUAGAGACGGGAUUUCACCAUGUUGGCCAGGAUGGUCUCUAUCUCCUGACCUCGUGAUCUUCCUGCCUCAGCCUCCCAAAGUGCUGAGAUUACACGCAUGAGCCACCAUGCCCAACCUUUUUUUUUUUUUUUUAAUUUAAAUUUUUUUCAUUUUUUUGAGACAAAUUUUUUUUGUUUGUUUGUUUUUUGUUUUUGAGACAGUCUUGCUCUGUCACCCAGGCUGGGAGUGCAGUGGCAUGAUCUUUGCAACCUCUACCUCCCAGGUUCAAGCAAUUCUUGUGCCUCAGCCUCUGGAGUAACUGAGACUACAGGUGCAUGCCACCACACCUGGCUAAUUUUUUAUGUUUUAGUAGAGACAGGGUUUCAACCAUGUUGCCCAGGUUGGUCUCGAACUUCUGAGCUCAGGCAAUCCACCCGCCUUGGCCUCCCCAAGUGCUAGGAUUAUAGGUGUGAGCCACCACACCCAGCUAUUUUUUCUUUUGUUUUUUAAUUUUAAAGUUGGGGGUCUCAAUUUGUUACCCUGGCUGGUCUCGAACUCCUGGACUCAAGCGAUCCUCUGGCUCCAAGCCCACUACCAGUCUCAGGUUUCUUUACUAAAAGAUCACUACCUUUUUUUCCCCUUACCUGCUGCCAUGUGAGACGUGGCUUUCACCUUCCGCUGUGAUCGUGAGGCCUUCCCAGCCACAUGGAACCAUAAGUCCAAUAAAUUAAAAAAAAAAAAUCACUAUGUAAGAUACUAGGAUAGAUUGUGACUGUUGAGGGGUGCUUACAUAUCCCACAUUUGACUACAUUCUUUCCAAACUAAGUAUUCUAUCCAAAGGAACGUACUGCUAUCAUGGAGACCAAAGAGGGACUGUUUAAGGUUGCCAAGGUGAAGCGAGCUGAGAGGCUCUGUUCUGGUGCCAGCAACUCUGAAAUCUUAAUUCCUGCUGUCCAGGCAGCAGAAUGCCAUGGUUUCCCCAAGUAGGUAGCUGCUUUAGCAAUUAAAGCCCAAACGUCUGUUCUGUUCCUCAGAGGUCUCUGAAUUUCUGAAGUGGUAUUUCGUUUCUGGUGACUGAGUUAAUCCCCAUCCCUCUUGUAAAGUGUGCUAAUGGAAUCAGCCUUUCAAAGCUACAGAACCAGACCGUGCCCUAAAUUGACCAACAUGAUUGAUGUGCCUUGGGAAGUCUCUUGCCAGCUGUCCCUGUGAAGACCUCCCCUCCGCUGCUGCCUUGCACACUGAAGCGUCUCAGACUGUGCAGAGCCAUUUAGUCAUAAAGACAAUAAAUCCCAGGGCUGGGUUAAGUGCUGUGUGAUAACUUGGAUGAGACUUUCUUUAAAGCCACUCACAAUAAAAUCAGGAAACUACUGUCA